rnacentral:rRNA from 1 species
GAGUUUGAUCCUGGCUCAGGACGAACGCUGGCGGCGUGCUUAACACAUGCAAGUCGAACGGUGACGAUGGGAGCUUGCUCCUGUCUGAUCAGUGGCGAACGGGUGAGUAACACGUGAGUAACCUGCCCCGGACUCUGGAAUAACCCCGGGAAACCGGAGCUAAUACCGGAUAUGACACCAACCUGCAUGGGUAUGGUGUGGAAAGUUUUUCGGUCUGGGAUGGACUCGCGGCCUAUCAGCUUGUUGGUGAGGUAAUGGCUCACCAAGGCGACGACGGGUAGCCGGCCUGAGAGGGCGACCGGCCACACUGGGACUGAGACACGGCCCAGACUCCUACGGGAGGCAGCAGUGGGGAAUAUUGCACAAUGGGCGAAAGCCUGAUGCAGCGACGCCGCGUGAGGGAUGACGGCCUUCGGGUUGUAAACCUCUUUCAGCAGGGAAGAAGCGCAAGUGACGGUACCUGCAGAAGAAGCACCGGCUAACUACGUGCCAGCAGCCGCGGUAAUACGUAGGGUGCGAGCGUUGUCCGGAAUUAUUGGGCGUAAAGAGCUUGUAGGCGGUUUGUCGCGUCUGCCGUGAAAAUUCGAGGCUCAACCUCGAACUUGCGGUGGGUACGGGCAGACUAGAGUGUGGUAGGGGAGACUGGAAUUCCUGGUGUAGCGGUGAAAUGCGCAGAUAUCAGGAGGAACACCGAUGGCGAAGGC